UAGUGUCUCUAACAUAUGAACUUGAGGUUUCUUCUGUUAGUCCAUUGAACUUGUGUUAAUAUUGGAUGUUAAUUGUUGCUUAUGAUUUUACCAUCAAUUAUCCUGAUUGUGAACAGUCAAUUUUAUUGAUUAACCUGGCUGAUCAAUCCACCACCCAUUAUCAUCAUAAUAAUCAUGGCCAUCAUCCUCACCAUGGAGAGAGUAUUCAUCAAACUGUUUCAAUCUAUUCCAAAGCAACCAAAAGAUGUAAAUCAUUAUUGGCAAAAUUUUUAUCCAUUACGCUAAACCAACCACCCAAAGGAAAGGAUAAUAAUGACGACAACAAUUAUCUUACAACUUUUUAUUUUAAAUUUGUUUUGCAUAGAAAAAAAGAGAUUUUUUCUUUUUUCAAAAUGUUCUGUACAAUGAUAAAAGUAGCGUUUCUUCACUACUUUAGUCAAUCGAUUGAGUUUCCAAAAAAAACAGUGAUUUACAAUUAUUUACAGAGCUCAUUUUAAAUACAUUAUUACAAGAUGUUCAUUGUUGGUUCAUUGUUGGUUGCAUCCAUUGAAAAAGAUCUCGCUACUGGAAAUCCUGUCCAUCACAUUUAUCUCGACAACUUUUAACUCUUUGAGCACAUUUCUGUUUCGCUUGCCACGACUUCAUGGUAUUUUUGUACUUUUCAAAUUCAUGGCACCAAUCAGAAUAGAUUUUGCGAUAUUCUGCUUCAUUCAUGGCUGUACAAGUUUCUGUUAAAGCGGAGAGACAAAAAAAAGGAGAGAAACAAGAAAAAUUCAAUUAGUUAAUCAAGUUACAUGACAAACAUGAGCUACUUCAACAUUUGCUUUUGUCAACUUUUUUGUUUUUAAAACAAAACGUUGCUGAUAAUUAUGUUUAAUACAUAUUUUCAUGUUAACCAAACAUUUAUCUUAAAAGUUAUAAUGAGAUAUAAGAUUUAACGUAUUUUGUUCAAGAGAAGCGCAAAGUUAUUUCCUUUGGAUAAUCAAGUCAAGUGAAGAUGAGAAGAAAAUUUUCAACAGAAGCUUAAUGAAAAUGAAGAAGAAGAAGAAAAAAAAGAUGAACUUGAUGAGGUUGUGAGAAGAGGAAACAUGAGUUCUGAAAGAAUCGGAAACAAGCUGGUUAUACAUAGUUAAAGACAAGGGAAUGGGAAGGUUAAUAUUACAUGGGAAGAAUAAGGUUGACCUCGCUCUUGUUUAACUUGAGCUAAGCUACAGUCAAUCAUCAUUUGUCAGGUCAUAAAUGGCAUUCAAUAAAAGUGUACAAAAAGAUGAACAAGACUGGUGAAGAUGAAAAGAUGAAGAUGCUGAUUAUGGAUGGCAAAAAACACACACUAUUAGACAAUGAAAGGGAGAAGAGAGAAAAAAGAGGAAAACAAGGAAUGAUGAUGACAACGAUGAAGAUGAUGAAGAUAGAGAUGAAUAUAAAAAAUAGUUGAAAAGAAAGAGAUUACGAUGAGAGAGGAAAGAUGAUGUGAGAAAGGUUGAAGACAAGAAAAAGGAUCAUCACUUGGAUAAAAAAUGAAAGCCUGGUUGAGACAUUUUGCAAUCUCUUUUUUCCUUUGAUUUUCCCUGUUCAGUGUUUUUUUUCUAUUCACAAGUAUCUUGAAAACGAUGAUUAUCAUGGAUGAUAAUGGUAAGAGCAUGAGAUGAAGUAAAGGUCUAAAGGUCAAUAUCAUCAUUAUCAGAAUGGUUUUCACACCAUUGGAACAAAUCAAGUAAGAUAAAGAUGAAGAUAUAAAGCAUUGGUCAGGACAAGAGGAAAAUGGGCAUGAAAGUUGCACUGAAUUUUAAGAGUGAAAAGAGGUAAGUGAAGGAAAUAGCAAGGAAAAAUGUUGAACAAAUCGCUUCACUAGAAUUGAUUGAAAGACCUUAUUUUUCAACAUUUUUUUUUCUUCUUCUUCUUUACUUUUGCUGCUUUUGUUUUUCAACUAAAUACAGAUUCAUUGGAGUUCAUCUGAUAUAAAGCAAUAUCCAAAAUUGGGAAAAAACUUUUUUGCUGGUCAACAAAGUGAAACAAUGAAAGGGAAAAGAUGAAGAUGCAAGAGGAAAGGACAAACAUGAAGAUGAAAAACUCUUCAUUUUCUCAAGACGUUUUUUGACUCUUUUUUGUUCAUACUUUUGCCUUCUUCAUUUUUUAAAGAUGAAGUGGAAGAGAAAAGAUGAUAAAGAUGAGAAGUUGUACAUUAUCUUGUUUAGAGUUUUAUAAAACCUUUUUCUCUUCAUCUUAUUCAUCUUCUUUUCCUUGUUUAAAAAACGUUUUCUUCUUUCAGUGGAAGAUGAAAAAAACUCAUUUCUUAUUCAGUUUUUCACUUGAUUCAAUUCAAUUUUGCCCUGUUUCCACUUUGCAAUCAUCUUUAUCUUCAUCUUCAGGUUGUUGUCAUUGAAGGAAAACUUGAUAAUAAAUAUAUUAUGUGUACAUCGAGGAUCAUGAUGAUGAAUAUGUUUUAACAAGUGAAAACAAAAUUU